rnacentral:rRNA from 1 species
AGUGAACGCUGGCGGCGUGCCUAAUACAUGCAAGUCGAACGGAGUGGCUCACGGGUGAGUAAUGUAUAGCUAAUCUGCCCUACACUAGAGGCCAACAGUUGGAAAAGACUGCUAAUACUCUAUAGUGUAGGAUGAGGCUAUAUUGUAUCAUCUAGUUGGUGAGGGAAUGGCUCCCCAAGGCUAUGACGCAUAACUGGUCUGAGAGGAUGAUCAGUCACACUCGAACGGAGACACCGUUCAGAAUCCUACGGGAGGCAGCAGUAGUGAAUAUUGCUAAAUGGGGGAAACCCUGAAGCAGCAACGCCGCGUGGAGGAUGACAGUUUUCGGAGCGUAAACUCCUUUUGUUAGGGAAGCGGUACCUAACUAAUAAGCACCGGCUAACUCCGUGCCAGCAGCCGCGGUAAUAC